UACGAAGGGGGCUAGCGUUGCUCGGAAUCACUGGGCGUAAAGCGCACGUAGGCGGAUCUUUAAGUCAGGGGUGAAAUCCCGGAGCUCAACUUCGGAAUUGCCUUUGAUACUGUCUGUCUUGAGUCCGGGAGAGGUGAGUGGAAUUCCUAGUGUAGAGGUGAAAUUCGUAGAUAUUAGGAAGAACACCAGUGGCGAAGGCGGCUCACUGGCCCGGUACUGACGCUCAUGUGCGAAAGCGUGGGGAGCAAACAGG
rnacentral:rRNA from 1 species